rnacentral:rRNA from 1 species
GCAGUCGAGGGGCAGCAUAAUGGAUAGCAAUAUCUAUGGUGGCGACCGCCGUACGGGUGCGUAACGCGUAUGCAACCUACCUUUAACAGGGGGAUAACACUGAGAAAUUGGUACUAAUACCCCAUAAUAUCAUAGAAGGCAUCUUUUAUGGUUGAAAAUUCCGAUGGUUAGAGAUGGGCAUGCGUUGUAUUAGCUAGUUGGUGGGGUAACGGCUCACCAAGGCGACGAUACAUAGGGGGACUGAGAGGUUAACCCCCCACACUGGUACUGAGACACGGACCAGACUCCUACGGGAGGCAGCAGUGAGGAAUAUUGGUCAAUGGACGCAAGUCUGAACCAGCCAUGCCGCGUGCAGGAUGACGGCUCUAUGAGUUGUAAACUGCUUUUGUACGAGGGUAAACGCAGAUACGUGUAUCUGUCUGAAAGUAUCGUACGAAUAAGGAUCGGCUAACUCCGUGCCAGCAGCCGCGGUAAUACGGAGGAUUCAAGCGUUAUCCGGAUUUAUUGGGUUUAAAGGGUGCGUAGGCGGUUUGAUAAGUUAGAGGUGAAAUUUCGGGGCUCAACCCUGAACGUGCCUCUAAUACUGUUGAGCUAGAGAGUAGUUGCGGUAGGCGGAAUGUAUGGUGUAGCGGUGAAAUGCUUAGAGAUCAUACAGAACACCGAUUGCGAAGGCAGCUUACCAAACUAUAUCUGACGUUGAGGCACGAAAGCGUGGGGAGCAAACAGGAUUAGAUACCCUGGUAGUCCACGCAGUAAACGAUGAUAACUCGUUGUCGGCGAUACACAGUCGGUGACUAAGCGAAAGCGAUAAGUUAUCCACCUGGGGAGUACGUUCGCAAGAAUGAAACUCAAAGGAAUUGACGGGGGCCCGCA